rnacentral:rRNA from 1 species
AAAUUGAAGAGUUUGAUCAUGGCUCAGAUUGAACGCUGGCGGCAGGCCUAACACAUGCAAGUCGAACGGUAACAGGAAGCAGCUUGCUGCUUUGCUGACGAGUGGCGGACGGGUGAGUAAUGUCUGGGAAACUGCCCGAUGGAGGGGGAUAACUACUGGAAACGGUGGCUAAUACCGCAU